rnacentral:misc_RNA from 1 species
GCUCCGUAGGUGAACCUGCGGAGGGAUCAUUACGGAGUUCGUGCCCUCGCGGGUGGAUCUCCCACCCAGUGUUAUUGCUACCUUUGUUGCUAUCGCGGGCUGCCCUCGGCUAACGGCCCCAGCUCGUACGCGCCCGCCAGAGGACCCCAAACACUGAAAGACAGUGUCGUCUGAGUAAUUUACAAUAGUUAAAACUUUCAACAACGGAUCUCUUGGUUCUG